rnacentral:misc_RNA from 1 species
AUUGAUGUUGGAAUUCUCAAGAAACUAGUGAAGUGGAGGAAUAAUCGAAGAGAUAAUGAGUUUUUGGUGGCUUUCUAUGGACAGUUGAACCGUAGAUGUUGAGCUUAGUUCAUUUUUAGCUAUAAUUUGAUUAAUGGUUGGAUAUGGUAGCUGCUAACUGGUCAAGUUUUGAAUGGUGGGAGAAUGUCAAAAAAAAAAGUCUUAUUAGAUGCUGCAAGAUAAAAAAAGGGGAGUUUUUGAUGGCUGAAGAAUAGAGAAUUAUAUAUUUGUAGUUGGAGCAUGGGUGGUGAUCUAUGGUAGCUCUUAACCCUAUUUGAAGAAUGCAAAUUGAAAUGGUACUGCAGUUAAUUUGUCCUUAAUUAAAGGAUCAUCAUAUUAUUUGCUUCAAUUUUUUCAUAUUACAAUUACAAGGUACAACACAGUACUGCUUCUUGUGGUGAUAAGCAAGCUUAGUUGUGACUUGUGAGGUCUAGUGAAGGUUUCUUCUGUGGGGUGUGAACAUAUGAAAGAGAGAUACGUUUAUUCUAUUAUUUUCUUAUGUUCUAAUGUGGCAUUGUAAUGUUCUGAUUUUCUUAAACUAUUGUUGAAGAUUUCAUUUUGUUUUCCCUUGUUUUUGGCAGCCGCCCAACAGCAUUGCAAG